rnacentral:pre_miRNA from 1 species
GGACGCGAAGCGUCCGCACUUCGUCCUAAUAAUAUAUAUAUAUAUUAGGACGAAGUGCGGACGCUUCGCGUCC